rnacentral:rRNA from 1 species
UACGUAGGGGGCUAGCGUUGUCCGGAAUCAUUGGGCGUAAAGAGCGUGUAGGCGGCUCGAUAAGUCCGCUGUGAAAGUCCAGGGCUCAACCCUGGGAUGCCGGUGGAUACUGUCGGGCUCGAGUCCGGAAGGGGCGAGUGGAAUUCCUGGUGUAGCGGUGAAAUGCGCAGAUAUCAGGAGGAACACCAAUGGCGAAGGCAGCUCGCUGGGACGUGACUGACGCUGAGACGCGAAAGCGUGGGGAGCAAACAGG